rnacentral:rRNA from 1 species
GCGCGAAAACUUUACAAUGCUGGCAACAGCGAUAAGGGAACCUCGAGUGCCAGGUUACAAAUCUGGCUGUCGAGAUGCCUAAAAAGCAUUUCAUAGCAAGGGCCGGGCAAGACCGGUGCCAGCCGCCGCGGUAACACAGGCGGCUCGAGUGGUAACCGUUAUUAUUGGGUCUAAAGGGUCUGUAGCCGGCCGGAUAAGUCUCUUGAGAAAUCUGGCAGCUUAACUGUCAGGCUUUCAGGAGAUACUGUCUGGCUCGAGGCCGGGAGAGGUGAGAGGUACUUCAGGGGUAGGGGUGAAAUCUUGUAAUCCUUGAAGGACCACCAGUGGCGAAGGCGUCUCACCAGAACGGACCUGACGGAAAGGGACGAAAGCUAGGGGCACGAACC